CGGCAACAGAGUUCGCUAGAACGUCAAAAUGUCGUGUAGACUCAUCAACAAAUUAAGGACUGCCCGCUGGUUCUCUUCCAAGGUCUACUUUUUCCGAUAUGAUGGGUUUAAAGAUCUUCCAAGUAUUCGUGGUAGAAGAGGUCCACGCAUUACAGGUGGAUGCCGCUCUACUGGCCCUCAUAGUUAUACGGAUUUGUGGCCAUGAAGGCGUCAUCAUGGAUCCGCUCUCAGAACGCGGGCGGUCUGUCUCAGUGUGUGUGUGAUGGGAAUGUUCUGCUGGGAUGUCACGUGACACAAGAGAUUUUGGGAAUCUGAAGACUACUACUUCCUGUUUUGUUGGAAGAUCAAGAAACUCUUAUAGUUCAUUUAGUUCACCUGUUAGCUGCGAGUUGUAUUGGCUGUUAUUGGCUGUUAUAGUUAUAGUUCAUCUGUUGAUGGCUGUUUGUAAAUUUACAAGUUAUGAGCUGUAUUAACUUGUUGUUCAUUUUUUAGCUAAGCUGUAUUAGCUGUAAGGUCUUGUUGAGAGAAAUCACAUUUUCUCAAAAUUUGAAUUAUCCAUUCAGGAUACAAAAUGGUGCUAUGAAAACCUCAGGAGUUAAAAAUUAACUUUGAUCUAAAAAACAAACGAACAAAAAGACUGAUUUUGGCACAACAAUUUAAUAAGAAAUAAGCCAUUCAAAAUCAAAACGUCUUAAAAUAAUACACACCUGUUUUGCUGUUCAGAAAAAGAACUGUAAAGUCUAAAUAAAAAUACAUAUUCUUG